rnacentral:rRNA from 1 species
AAUGAACGCUGGCGGCGUGCCUAACACAUGCAAGUCGAGCGAGAAAGGGACCUUCGGGUCCUGAGUAAAGCGGCGCACGGGUGAGUAACGCGUGGGUAACCUGCCCUUGAGUGGGGGAUAACCAGCCGAAAGGCUGACUAAUCCCGCAUACGUCCAUCAGGCUUAAGUCUGAUGGGGAAAGAUGGCCUCUACUUGUAAGCUAUCGCUCUUGGAUGGGCCCGCGUUGGAUUAGCUAGUUGGUGAGGUAAUGGCUCACCAAGGUUACGAUCCAUAGCUGGUUUGAGAGGACGACCAGCCACACUGGAACUGAGACACGGUCCAGACUCCUACGGGAGGCAGCAGUGAGGAAUAUUGCGCAAUGGGGGAAACCCUGACGCAGCGACGCCGUGUGAGUGAUGAAGGCCUUCGGGUCGUAAAGCUCUGUCAGAG